GCUCUCGUAGCUCAGUUGGUAGAGCGCGGCACUAGUAUCGUCAUCACGUGAUGUCACGUGACAUGCCGAGGUCUACGGUUCAAAUCCGUACGGGAGCA
rnacentral:tRNA from 1 species